AAUAGAUACCCUGGUAGUCCACGCCGUAAACGAUGGAUACUAGCUGUUUGGAAGCAAUUCUGAGUGGCUAAGCGAAAGUGAUAAGUAUCCCACCUGGGGAGUACGGGCGCAAGCCUGAAACUCAAAGGAAUUGACGGGGGGUCCCGCACAAGCGGUGGAGCAUGUGGUUUAAUUCGAUGAUACGCGAGGAACCUUACCAGGGCUUAAAUGUGUUUUGACCGCUUAGGAAACUAGGCUUUCGCAAGACAAAAUACAAGGUGCUGCAUGGUUGUCGUCAGCUCGUGCCGUGAGGUGUCAGGUUAAGUCCUAUAACGAGCGCAACCCCUUGUUGUUAGUUGCCAGCGAGUAGUGUCGGGAACUCUAACAAGACUGCCAGUGUAAACUGUGAGGAAGGUGGGGAUGACGUCAAAUCAUCGACGGCCCUUACGGUCCUGGGCCACACACGUGCUACAAUGGACGGUACAGAGAGCAGCUACCACGCGAGUGGAUGCGAAUCUAUAAAACCGUUCUCAGUUCGGAUCGGAGUCUGCAACUCGUACCG
rnacentral:rRNA from 1 species